UACGGAGGGGGCUAGCGUUGUUCGGAAUUACUGGGCGUAAAGCGCACGUAGGCGGCUUUUUAAGUCAGAGGUGAAAGCCCGGGGCUCAACUCCGGAAUUGCCUUUGAGACUGGAGGCUUGAUCGUCGGAGAGGUGAGUGGAAUUCCGAGUGUAGAGGUAAAAUUCGAUAGAUAUUCGGAAGAACACCAGUGGCGAAGGCGGCUCACUGGACGACUGAUGACGCUGAGGCACGAAAGCGUGGGGAGCAAACAGG
rnacentral:rRNA from 1 species